rnacentral:rRNA from 1 species
UGAGGAAUAUUGGUCAAUGGGCGAGAGCCUGAACCAGCCAAGUAGCGUGAAGGAUGACUGCCCUAUGGGUUGUAAACUUCUUUUAUAAAGGAAUAAAGUCGGGUAUGGAUACCCGUUUGCAUGUACCGUAUGAAUAAGGAUCGGCUAACUCCGUGCCAGCAGCCGCGGUAAUACGGAGGAUCCGAGCGUUAUCCGGAUUUAUUGGGUUUAAAGGGAGCGUAGAUGGGUUGUUAAGUCAGUUGUGAAAGUUUGCGGCUCAACCGUAAAAUUGCAAUUGAUACUGGCAGUCUUGAGUACAGUUGAGGUAGGCGGAAUUCGUGGUGUAGCGGUGAAAUGCUUAGAUAUCACGAAGAACUCCGAUUGCGAAGGCAGCUUACUAACCUGUAACUGACAUUGAUGCUCGAAAGUGUGGGUAUCAAACAGGAUUAGAUACCCUGGUAGUCCACACGGUAAACGAUGAAUACUCGCUGUAGGCGAUAUACAGUCUGCGGCCAAGCGAAAGCAUUAAGUAUUCCACCUGGGGAGUACGCCGGCAACGGUGAAACUCAAAGGAAUUGACGGGGGCCCGCACAAGCGGAGGAACAUGUGGUUUAAUUCGAUGAUACGCGAGGAACCUUACCCGGGCUUAAAUUGCAACCGAAUAUGGCGGAAACGCUAUAGCUAGCAAUAGCGGUUGUGAAGGUGCUGCAUGGUUGUCGUCAGCUCGUGCCGUGAGGUGUCGGCUUAAGUGCCAUAACGAGCGCAACCCUUGCCGAUAGUUACUAACAGGUUAUGCUGAGGACUCUGUCGGGACUGCCAUCGUAAGAUGUGAGGAAGGUGGGGAUGACGUCAAAUCAGCACGGCCCUUACGUCCGGGGCUACACACGUGUUACAAUGGGGGGUACAGAGGGCUGCUACCACGCAAGUGGAUGCCAAUCCCAAAAACCUCUCUCAGUUCGGAUUGAAGUCUGCAACCCGACUUCAUGAAGCUGGAUUCGCUAGUAAUCGCGCAUCAGCCACGGCGCGGUGAAUACGUUCCC